ACUGGGUUUGGUGAUGCACCCUGUAGUCCCACCUACCCAGGAGGCUGAGCCUUGAGCCCAGGAGCUCUGGGCUGUGGGUGCUAUGCUGAUCGGGUACCCACUCUAAGUAUGACAUCAAUAUGGUGACCUUCCAGGAAUGAGGGGCCACCAGGUUGCAUAAGAAGGGAUGAACCAGCCCAGGUCAGAAAUAGAGCAAGCCAAAACUCCUGUGCUGGUCAGUAGUGGGAUUGUGCCUGUGAGUAGCCACUGCACUCCACCCUGGGCAACACAGCGAAACACU
rnacentral:SRP_RNA from 1 species